rnacentral:rRNA from 1 species
UACGAAGGGGGGCUAGCGUUGCUCGGAAUCACUGGGCGUAAAGGGUGCGUAGGCGGGUCUUAAGUCAGGUGUGAAAUCUCCACGCUCAACGUGGAGGCGCCACCUGAAACUGCCGUGACUCGAGUCCGGUAGGGGGAGUGUGGAAUUCCCGGUGUAGCGGUGAAAUGCGCAGAUAUCAGGAGGAACACCGGUGGCGAAGGCGGAUCUCUGGGCCGAUA